AUCACUUCUCGGCCUUUUGGCUAAGAUCAAGUGUAUUAUCUGUUCUCAUCAGUUUAAAAAUGCAAUACAAAAAGAAAUAAAUCAGGGCUCCAGUAGUAUAAAAAGAAUGCUUAUCUAGUAAUGUAUCCCUCCAUGUGGUCCCCCGAGGCAAUACACAAAAACCUCGAACUUUGGAAAUUAA
rnacentral:snRNA from 1 species